rnacentral:tRNA from 1 species
CUCGUAGCUCAGCUGGUAGAGCGUGUGCUAUACCAAAGCGCANAGCGCAGGCCGCACCCAUGCGUGGGUUCGAAUCCCACCGAG